CCACUACAUGGUGUUUUGAUGGGUUGUUUCCCCUCCCAUCAUUCUGUAUCCAAGGUAACACAACAAUCCAUUAUCUGUCCUUAUGAGACAGAGAGGUACUGCUCUGUUUAAUCCAGACAGUUCUGUUUCAUUCAUUAUCUGUCCUUAUGAGACAGAGAGAGGUACUGCUCUGUUUAAUCCAGACAGUUCUGUUUCAUUCAUUAUCUGUCCUUAUGAGACAGAGAGAGGUACUGCUCUGUUUAAUCCAGACAGUUCUGUUUCAUUCAUUAUCUGUCCUUAUGAGACAGAGAGAGGUACUGCUCUGUUUAAUCCAGA